GUGAAAUUGCCUCCAUUUUAAAAAAUAAAGAAAAAGAUGGAAUUGCUUAUUCCUAAUGCAGAUAGGAAAACCUAGCAAACAAACAUCCGCUACUGGGUCAUGGAGAAGGAGAGUGGAGACAGAUGGAAGACUCGUGAUUCUCGUCCUAUCCUAUGGCCAUUGGAAUCUCUCUAAUGGAGAUAAUAAUAAAUAAAAGAAAAAGCUCUUCCUUAGCUCCCUCGUUUCCCUCCACAGCUAAGCACAAGGGGAUUUUAUGCUAAUUCCCAUAUUCUUAUUUCUAACCAAUACAGAUAUUCAAUUAAAACGAAAAAUCCCUCUCUCUCUCUCUCUCU
rnacentral:misc_RNA from 1 species